rnacentral:rRNA from 1 species
GUGGUGGCGCGCUACCAUGCAAGUCGAGCGGUAGAGAAGGAGCUUGCUUCUUCUUGAGAGCGGCGGACGGGUGAGUAAUGCCUAGGAAUCUGCCUGGUAGUGGGGGACAACGUUUCGAAAGGAACGCUAAUACCGCAUACGUCCUACGGGAGAAAGUGGGGGAUCUUCGGACCUCACGCUAUCAGAUGAGCCUAGGUCGGAUUAGCUUGUAGGUGAGGUAAAGGCUCACCUAGGCAACGAUCCGUAACUGGUCUGAGAGGAUGAUCAGUCACACUGGAACUGAGACACGGUCCAGACUCCUACGGGAGGCAGCAGUGGGGAAUAUUGGACAAUGGGCGAAAGCCUGAUCCAGCCAUGCCGCGUGUGUGAAGAAGGUCUUCGGAUUGUAAAGCACUUUAAGUUGGGAGGAAGGGUUGUAGCUUAAUACGCUGCAACUUUGACGUUACCAACAGAAUAAGCACCGGCUAACUCUGUGCCAGCAGCCGCGGUAAUACAGAGGGUGCAAGCGUUAAUCGGAAUUACUGGGCGUAAAGCGCGCGUAGGCGGCUUGAUAAGAUGGGUGUGAAAUCCCCGGGCUUAACCUGGGAACUGCAUCCAUAACUGUCUGGCUAGAGUGCAGUAGAGGGUGGUGGAAUUUCCUGUGUAGCGGUGAAAUGCGUAGAUAUAGGAAGGAACACCAGUGGCGAAGGCGACCACCUGGACUGACACUGACGCUGAGGUGCGAAAGCGUGGGGAGCAAACAGGAUUAGAUACCCUGGUAGUCCACGCCGUAAACGAUGUCAACUAGCCGUUGGAAUCCUUGGAGAUUUUAGUGGCGCAGCUAACGCACUAAGUUGACCGCCUGGGGGAGUACGGUCGCAAGAUUAAAACUCAAAUGAAUUGACGGGGGCCCGCACAAGCGGUGGGAGCAUGUGGGUU